UUUUGAAAGGGGAAACGAUUGAAGCCAGUCGUACCGGCGGGUAAUCAGCCUUUUGGGUGUGAUUAUGUGGAGCGUGAAGAGCUAAUCACCUUCAUCUUUGCAUAUUCGUGCACUUUAGGUGUACUUGCUCGUGUGGUAGGUUAACAUCAAUUUUGGUCGUCAUAAAAUGGCUGGAGGAAUGUAGCUUCGAUCUCGUAUUGAAGUGUUAUAGCCUCUGGUAGAUGUGAUGAUUGGGAUUGAGGAUUGCAACGGAUACCCUUCGGGCUACCUGUCUGAUCUCUGAAAGUUGCUCUGGUGCUGAAAGCGUGCUUAUGGUAUCAAAGUUGACGUUCAAUAGGUUAGAGCGGGUUAAAUUCGUUAAGGAGUACGUAA
rnacentral:rRNA from 1 species